AAUAGAUAUCCGGGUAGUCCACGCCGUAAACGAUGAGUGCUAAGUGUUAGAGGGUUUCCGCCCGUUUAAUGCUGCAGCUAACGCAUUAAGCACUCCGCCUGGGGAGUACGGUCGCAAGACUGAAACUCAAAGGAAUUGACGGGGGCCCGCACAAGCGGUGGAGCAUGUGGUUUAAUUCGAAGCAACGCGAAGAACCUUACCAGGUCUUGACAUCCUCUGACAACUCUAGAGAUAGAGCGUUCCCCUUCGGGGGACAGAGUGACAGGUGGUGCAUGGUUGUCGUCAGCUCGUGUCGUGAGAUGUUGGGUUAAGUCCCGCAACGAGCGCAACCCUUGAUCUUAGUUGCCAGCAUUUAGUUGGGCACUCUAAGGUGACUGCCGGUGACAAACCGGAGGAAGGUGGGGAUGACGUCAAAUCAUCAUGCCCCUUAUGACCUGGGCUACACACGUGCUACAAUGGAUGGUACAAAGGGCUGCAAGACCGCGAGGUCAAGCCAAUCCCAUAAAACCAUUCUCAGUUCGGAUUGUAGG
rnacentral:rRNA from 1 species